GCAACCUGAACUCAGAUGUGAUUACCCGCUGAACUUAAGCAUAUCAUUU
rnacentral:rRNA from 2 species